UACGUAGGUGGCGAGCGUUGUCCGGAAUUACUGGGUGUAAAGGGCGUGUAGGCGGGAUUGUAAGUCAGAUGUGAAAUUCUUAAGCUUAACUUAAGCGCUGCAUCUGAAACUGCGAUUCUUGAGUACUGGAGAGGAUAGUGGAAUUCCUAGUGUAGCGGUGAAAUGCGUAGAUAUUAGGAGGAACACCAGUGGCGAAGGCGACUAUCUGGACAGUAACUGACGCUGAGGCGCGAAAGCGUGGGGAUCAAACAGG
rnacentral:rRNA from 1 species